GUUUUGUUUUGUUUUUUGUUUGUUCGUUUGUUGAGAUAAGGUCUCACUAGGCAGCUCAAACUAGCUUCAUCUUGGGCUCUUCCUGCCUCAGCCUCCUGUGUACCUGGGAUCACAGACGUGCACCGCUGUGCCUGCCUGCUGUUCCUGUUUCAUUUAGCCGCCCAGCUGUCAUCAUUUGCUACGGCAGCUGUGGAACCCCCACCAAGGAAGAGAAGGAUCCUAUGCACCUGCCUGAGUUCUUGGCGCCCACUGCACUCUCCUCCUCAUCCAGGAAUCCUCCCUGAUGCUCAACAGAGCUUCUGCUUCUCUGCCCAGACGUGGCCACCACACCUGGCAGUAUCUGUAUCCAAGCUAGAGCCUUGCUGGGGUCCAAAGGACAGCGUAUCCGGCAUCCAUCAACCAACAGCCAAUCUCCAGAGAAAGACCUUGUCUCAGAAAACAAAAAGAAGGAGGGUAUGUCCCACUAUUGUCAUCUGCCACAAGGCAACACGACCCAAGGAACCCCUGCCAGAGUCACGCCUUCCUGCUCAGACUUCCAGCCUACAGAAGGGCGAGUCAGGUGAGUCUCUUUUCUUACUAAGAUGUCUGUGCCUAGGGUGGGCUGUGACAGUCAGGCAGAAGGGACUGACACGCAUGGCCUAGCGCGCCCGCACCCUGGGGUAUGACCGUCCCCAUUCCUUGGUGGUGCUGGGGCAGAAGCCAGGGCAUCAGGUGUACAGAGCAGGUGCCUCACCGGCCCCCACCACUGUGCCUCUUGCCAAUGAUGGGGCGGUGCCUCAAAGCCUGCUUGUCACGCCUGGCUCGUGGCGGUGUCCAUUGCUGCAACCACUUGGGGACGCCAGUUGGUGCCUAGCAGUGCAGCUGGCCAUCUGCACCCAGGGCUCCACGUCCCCACCUCCAAACAGUGCAGAUGGAAGAGAAGACAUAAAUGGUGUCUGUGCCCAACAUGCAGAGCAUUUUCUUUUCUUGUCGUGAGUCCUUAAAUAACACAGCAUCACAACUAUGU